GUUGUAGAUUUGACAGUCGCUGCUCCUAGGAACAGAGGACCGCAGUCGAAGAACCUCAGGUGUUCCGGUUGUCACGCCAGUGGCAUUGACACGUAGCGAUGUUCGGAAAAGAUAACCGCUGAAAGCAUCUAAGCGAGAAACUCGCCUCAAGAUGAGAUCUCACUGGGAACUUGAUUCCCCUGAAGGGCCGUCGAAGACUACGACGUUGAUAGGCUGGGUGUGUAAGCGUUGUGAGGCGUUGAGCUAACCAGUACUAAUUGCCCGUGAGGCUUGACCAUAUAACACCCAAACA
rnacentral:rRNA from 1 species